rnacentral:rRNA from 1 species
AUAUUGCACAAUGGGGGAAACCCUGAUGCAGCGACGCCGCGUGAGUGAAGAAGUAUUUCGGUAUGUAAAGCUCUAUCAGCAGGGAAGAAAAUGACGGUACCUGACUAAGAAGCUCCGGCUACCUCCGUGCCAGCUGCCGCGGUAAUACGUAGGGGGCAAGCGUUACCCGGAUGUACUGGGUGUACAGGGAGCGUAGGUUGUUCGGUAAGUCGGGUGUGAAAGCCCGGGGCUCAACCCCGGGAUUGCACUUGAAACUAUCGAACUUGAGUGCAGGAGAGGUAGGUGGAAUUCCUAGUGUAGCGGUGAAAUGCGUAGAUAUUAGGAGGAACACCAGUGGCGAAGGCGGCUUACUGGACUGUAACUGACACUGAGGCUCGAAAGCGUGGGGAGCAAACA